UACGUAGGGACCAAGCGUUGUUCGGAUUUACUGGGCGUAAAGGGCGCGUAGGCGGCGUGUUAAGUCAGCUGUGAAAUCUCCGAGCUUAACUCGGAACGGUCAGCUGAUACUGAUGUGCAAGAGUGCAGAAGGGGCAAUCGGAAUUCUUGGUGUAGCGGUGAAAUGCGUAGAUAUCAAGAGGAACACCUGAGGUGAAGACGGGUUGCUGGGCUGACACUGACGCUGAGGCGCGAAAGCCAGGGGAGCAAACGGG
rnacentral:rRNA from 1 species